UGGGGAAUAUUGGACAAUGGGCGCAAGCCUGAUCCAGCAAUACCGCGUGUGUGAAGAAGGCCUGAGGGUUGUAAAGCACUUUCAAUGGGGAGGAAAAAUGCAGUCUUAAUACGGCUGCCCUUGGCAUUACCCAUACAAGAAGCACCGGCUAACUCCGUGCCAGCAGCCGCGGUAAUACGGAGGGUGCGAGCGUUAAUCGGAAUUACUGGGCGUAAAGCGUGCGUAGGCGGCCUGUUAAGUCAGAUGUGAAAGCCCUGGGCUCAACCUGGGAACGGCAUUUGAAACUGGCAGGCUAGAGUUAGGUAGAGGGGAGUGGAAUUUCAGGUGUAGCGGUGAAAUGCGUAGAUAUCUGAAGGAACACCAAAGGCGAAGGCAGCGCACUGGCCAAAAUCUGACGCUCACACACGAAAGCUAGGGUAGCGAAGAGGAUUAGAUACCCAAGUAGUCCCUGAGCGGGCUGGCAAGGCGCAU
rnacentral:rRNA from 1 species